UAGGGAAUCUUCGGCAAUGGGGGCAACCCUGACCGAGCAACGCCGCGUGAGUGAAGAAGGUUUUCGGAUCGUAAAGCUCUGUUGUAAGAGAAGAACGUGUGUGAGAGUGGAAAGUUCACACAGUGACGGUAACUUUCCAGAAAGGGACGGCUAACUACGUGCCAGCAGCCGCGGUAAUACGUAGGUCCCGAGCGUUGUCCGGAUUUAUUGGGCGUAAAGCGAGCGCAGGCGGUUUAAUAAGUCUGAAGUUAAAGGCAGUGGCUUAACCAUUGUUCGCUUUGGAAACUGUUAAACUUGAGUGCAGAAGGGGAGAGUGGAAUUCCAUGUGUAGCGGUGAAAUGCGUAGAUAUAUGGAGGAACACCGGUGGCGAAAGCGGCUCUCUGGUCUGUAACUGACGCUGAGGCUCGAAAGCGUGGGGAGCAAACAGG
rnacentral:rRNA from 1 species